rnacentral:rRNA from 1 species
CGACGCUGGCGGCGCGUUUAAGCAUGCAAGUCGAGCGGCAAGGGCCUUCGGGCCCCUAGAGCGGCGGACGGGUGAGUAACACGUGGACAAUCUGCCCCCCGGCCCGGGAUAGCCCAGGGAAACCUGGAUUAAUACCGGAUGAGACGGGACCCGCGAUGGCGGGACCCGGGAAAGGCGCUGCGGCGCCGCCGGGGGAUGAGUCUGCGUCCCAUUAGCUAGACGGCGGGGUAACGGCCCACCGUGGCGACGAUGGGUAGCCGGCCUGAGAGGGUGGACGGCCACAUUGGAACUGAGACACGGUCCAGACUCCUACGGGAGGCAGCAGCUAAGAAUCUUCCGCAAUGGGCGAAAGCCUGACGGAGCGACGGCCCGCGUGAACGAAGAAGGCCGUGAGGUUGUAAAGUUCUUUUCGGGAGGGGGAACAACCGUGGCAGGGAAUGGCCGCGGGAUGACGUGAAUCCCGGAAUAAGCCCCGGCUAACUACGUGCCAGCAGCCGC